GUCUUCGUGGAGUAAUGCAACUCACUCCCACUUGUUGGAUGCGCAAAUGGAGCCAUGGGAGAGACGGUGGUUCGAACCCACCCGAAGACA